AUUGAACGCUGGCGGCAUGCCUUACACAUGCAAGUCGAACGGCAGCACGGGAGCAAUCCUGGUGGCGAGUGGCGAACGGGUGAGUAAUAUAUCGGAACGUGCCCAGUCGUGGGGGAUAACGCAGCGAAAGCUGUGCUAAUACCGCAUACGAUCUAAGGAUGAAAGCGGGGGAUCGCAAGACCUCGCGCGAUUGGAGCGGCCGAUGUCAGAUUAGCUAGUUGGUGGGGUAAAGGCCCACCAAGGCGACGAUCUGUAGCUGGUCUGAGAGGACGGCCAGCCACACUGGAACUGGGACAAGGCCCAGACUCCUACGGGAGGCAGCAGUGGGGAAUUUUGGACAAUGGGGGCAACCCUGAUCCAGCAAUGCCGCGUGCAGGAAGAAGGACUUCGGGUUGUAAACUGCUUUUGUCAGGGAAGAAAUCCUCUGGGUUAAUACCUCGGGGGGAUGACGGUACCUGAAGAAUAAGCACCGGCUAACUACGUGCCAGCCGCCGCGGUAAAAC
rnacentral:rRNA from 1 species